rnacentral:tRNA from 1 species
ACACUGAUGACAAAGGCUUUCUAUUUGCCCUCCGAAGGCAGGGGUCGUGGGUUCGAAUCCCGCCUGGUGCACCA